AAUAUUAUACUUUGUGAAAUUCCUAAAAUACCGAAUAUAUUUAAUUUCCUAAAAUACUCUUGUGACAUCAAAAUUUAUUAAUGGAGUUAAAGAUUUAGUGUUAAAAUAAUAAAAACUGAAAAGUUAAGUUGAAAGAAACAAUCGUCAUAAAACUUUAACUGUAAAGCGAUAUGCCAAAGAACAUUAGAUGGCAAAACGGUAUAUAGAUUUCAACUCAUAAAACUUGUUAAUUAUAGUUAAGCUACUGCUUGUUUAAACUUUUAUAUCUUAGCUUAAAGUACUUUUUAAAUUUUCACAAUAAAUUAUUUGAGAAAGUUAAUUAUUUAAUCUAAAUUAACCAUAUAUUUUUAUUCAAAUUUGGCUGAGGUUUAAGUAUAAAUUAAAAAAAAAAAUCGCAAGUCAAGCAUUGAUACCACAAUCCUACCAUUUUCAUAAUCAAUUAAAAUUAUACAGGACACAAACUAGCUAUAAUGUGCAAUCUGAAUCAGACACCACAACGCGAAAGGAUUGGUCGAAUUGCAGCAUCGUGGCUAAAACUGCUGAAGGCGCAGCAACGGGUAGAGUUCUUUACAAACCGAAAUAAGAUAAUAAUAAGGAUUUCUCUAAGAUACUGUUUGUAUUUUCUCAGCAUUGAUAGUGGGAUUAGUGUGUACCCUUGGAUAGAAGAGUUUUAAUCUGAUUCAUUCAUUUAAUAUA
rnacentral:lncRNA from 1 species